rnacentral:misc_RNA from 1 species
AACGCACCUUGCGCUCCUUGGUACUCCGAGGAGCAUGCCUGUUUGAGUGUCAUUAAAUCAUCAACCCCGAUUGGUUUGUUUUCAAAUCUCCGGGGCUUGGACUUGGAGCGUGCUGGCGAAGGUCGGCUCCUCUGAAAUGCAUCAGCGGAAUUCAAUCUUUGGUUUCCGGAUGUCGGUGUGAUAAUCACAUUGCGCCGUCGUCCGACCUCAAAGUCCGCUCAUUAAAUGGUCUUCGGACAACUCAUCGAAUUUGACCUCAAAUCAGGUAGGACUACCCGCUGAACUUAA